GAAGCCGUAGCGCAGUGGUCGUCGCGCCUUGACCUCACUGAGGAGGACGCCGGUUCGAAUCCGGCCGGCUUCGCCA
rnacentral:tRNA from 1 species